GACGAACGCUGGCGGCGUGCUUAACACAUGCAAGUCGAGCGGUAAGGCCCUUUCGGGGGUACACGAGCGGCGAACGGGUGAGUAACACGUGGGUGACCUGCCCUCAGCUCUGGGAUAAGCCUGGGAAACUGGGUCUAAUACUGGAUAUGACUCCACGGUGCAUGUCGUGGGGUGGAAAGCCUUGUGCGGCUGAGGAUGGGCCCGCGGCCUAUCAGCUUG
rnacentral:rRNA from 1 species